AAUACCGGUUGUGAACUUGGGAAGUGAUGGUCCUUCCUCUCAAGGGCGCACAGAACAGAGUAGUGUAAACCAGCCGUCACAGAGCAUGUUGAGUCCGACUGAUUCGAAUAUGAUGGUUGUGAGGGAACAGACACCGUCGGAUGCGCUUGCAGUAGUCCCGAUUCAGGUUUUUGUGCCGGCAUCCCAAACAACCACUGAGACAGAUUUUGAACCAACCCCUAUGCUACAGAUUGAAGGGACUACAGAAACGUAAGAAAUAGU